rnacentral:rRNA from 1 species
GAAAAUUUCAAACCAGUCCAGAUUCGAUGGUGGAAAUUGCGAACAAAAAAAAUCCUCUCCUGCAGCCUUUUUCCCGCAAAAAAUUUGGGCAUUUUUGUGAUUACAUAUAACAUAAGGGGGUUUUCUGCAAAAAACAUGCCACGUCGGCACCUGACGGGCGGGCCCCAUCGGUCAGAUACACCAUCAAUACGUAUAAAUACG